CUCUAUUAUAGCAUUAAUUAU
rnacentral:snRNA from 1 species